rnacentral:siRNA from 1 species
UAUGAGAAAUCAAAGUUUUUGGGU